rnacentral:rRNA from 1 species
AUUGAACGCUGGCGGCAGGCCUAACACAUGCAAGUCGAACGAGUGGCGGACGGGUGAGUAAUGUCUGGGAAACUGCCUGAUGGAGGGGGAUAACUACUGGAAACGGUAGCUAAUACCGCAUACCAUCAGAUGUGCCCAGAUGGGAUUAGCUAGUUGGUGGGGUAACGGCUCACCAAGGCGACGAUCCCUAGCUGGUCUGAGAGGAUGACCAGAUACAUCGGAACGGAGACACGGUCCCGACUCCUAAGGGAGGAAACAGAGGGGAAUAUUGGACAUUGGGUGAAAGCCGGAUGCAGCCAUGCCGCGUGUAUGAAGAAGGCCGUCGGGGUGUAAAGUACUUUCAGCGGUGAGGCGUUACCCGCAGAAGAAGCACCGGCUAACGCCGUGCCAGCCGCCGCGGUAAUAC